rnacentral:rRNA from 1 species
AUUGAACGCUGGCGGCAGGCCUAACACAUGCAAGUCGAGCGGAUGAAGGGAGCUUGCUCCUGGAUUCAGCGGCGGGCGGGUGAGUAAUGCCUAGGAAUCUGCCUGGUAGUGGGGGAUAACGUCCGGAAACGGGCGCUAAUACCGCGUACGUCCUGAGGGAGAAAGUGGGGGAGCUUCGGACCUCACGCUAUCAGAUGAGCCUAGGUCGGAUUAGCUAGUUGGUGGGGUAAAGGCCUACCAAGGCGACGAUCCGUAACUGGUCUGAGAGGAUGAUCAGUCACACUGGAACUGAGACACGGUCCAGACUCCUACGGGAGGCAGCAGUGGGGAAUAUUGGACAGUGGGCGAAAGCCUGAUCCAGCCAUGCCGCGUGUGUGAAGAAGGUCUUCGGAUUGUAAAGCACUUUAAGUUGGGAGGAAGGGCAGUAAGUUAAUACCUUGCUGUUUUGACGUUAACAACAGAAUAAGCACCGGCUAACUUCGUG